UUUUGACAUUCGUUCCAAUAAGGAAAAACUGAUCUGACAAGAAAAGCUUGGAAGAAAACUUCUAUAAAUAUUUUUGUUACAAAUUUAACCCACAUCAAAAAAUUCCAAUAUAUCGUAAUGUUCAAUAAAUAAAAAAAGAGAAUGUGCAUUUAUAGCAAUAUUUUAAAACUUAUUAUAGUGAACAUUGUAAAGACAAAGGGAAUACUUCUGUAGUUCAAGGCAACAGCCUAGGAAAGCAAAUUCUACAUUCUUUUGUAUAAGGUCAAUUUCAUACAAGUCAAUUUUUUUGGUAAUAUAGCAUACGUAUAUAUAAAUAUAAAAAAGUAACAAAAAUGCCUUCCGUACGGAAAUACCGUCGCGAAACCACUGAGAUAAGCUGUUGUUUAAAAUAUCUACUCUUCAGCAGCAACGUAGUUGUUUGGACUGCUGGAUUAUGUGUUCUGGCCGUUGGUAUUUGGGCUUGGAAUGAAAAGGAUAUGUUCAGUAAUUUGGCUAAGCUAACAUUUAUAGCCUUAGAUCCGGCCUUUGUAUUAAUUUGUACGGGCACAAUCACAUUUAUAAUUGGCUUUACUGGAAGCGUUGGAGCGCUACGAGAAAAUACCUGUCUCUUGUCACUGUACGCACUAUUCCUGUCGUUGCUGCUGACAUUUGAAAUAAGCUUGGGCAUAUUAACUUUUGUACUAAAGGAUAAGGGUUGGAUAAAAGAUCAAGCUACAGAGGGAUUACGUGCCUUCAUAAUUCACUACCGUGAAGAUCCAGAUCAGCAAAAUCUUAUCGACUGGAUACAAGAAGAUUGGCUGCAGUGUUGUGGAAUUGAUGGCCCAAAAGAUUGGGAUAGCAAUAACUAUUUCAAUUGCUCAUCCAGCGCCAUUGGAAGUCGGGAAGCAUGUGGAGUGCCGUUUUCAUGCUGCCGUCGGCGACCAACCGAAUUAAUAAAGAAUAAGCAGUGUGGCUACGAUGUGCGCAAGGAAGGAUAUCCGGUGGAACGACAUAUCUAUGAGCGCGGUUGUUUGCGAGCAGGCGAAGAUUGGCUGGAAGCACACUUGAUUAGUGUAGCGUCUUCCUGCAUUUGUAUACUUGUAGUGCAGGUCCUGUUGUACUAACAUUUUUUAAAUCUAGUAUUAUAAUUUAAGCUGCAUGUUAACAAUUUAUGAAUUAUUUUAUUUUUUGUUUUUACAGUUUUUGUCCUACUAAUACUUUUAUUAUUAUUUAUUUUUGUGUUAUCCUAGAAUUUUGAAAUAUCGAAAAUCAUUUACGAAAAAGGCUGUGUACAAGCGGGUGAAGAGUGGAUUGAGCAUAAUUUAAUUAUAAUUUCAACCAGCGUUAUUAUACUUAUUUUCGUACAGAUACUUGGCAUUUGCUUCACACAAAAUCUCCGCGCCGAUAUAAAUGCGCAAAAAUCUAAGUAUCACUGACAAAUACCUUCCGCCGCACCAUGCAAUGGCAUACCGCCAAGACCCACUGCCAUUUAGGUCGGCUACAAGUCCCGCCGCAACAUGUGGGUGUAGUAUGAAAGAGUGCAUAUGUGAAAAUGAACGGGUAAAGUAAUGCAAAGUAAACUAGUUAAACGAUUAAACGUAAGCUUUAAACUUCCGACUAUGCUACCAUUAUGAGUUAGAUACAUAUACAUAUGUACAUACUAAAUAUACCGAACUUAGUGAAACAUAGAGACAUGCAAACACCUAUACUGAAAAAGCAACAACAACUGAAUAGUGAUUAAGGCUUUUUAAAGUUCGAUUUGUAUGAAUUUAGUUAUAUAUUUACACUUUUUAGUUACUCUGUUUUACAUUAAACCGAUUUAUAAGCUCUCCUAAAUGCUUAACAAAUAUUAAAAUCUCGUACACGAUACAUGCUUCCACUAAUUUUCAAGUCAAACUCAAAUUGCAGCUGUGAUAACUCUUUUGGUCAGCUUUCAAAAUACUCACCCAAACAAAACAAAACUAACUUGACUUAUAAUGAUGCAACUCAAACUAAGCAAAAGUUAUAAGCUACAUGCAUACAAAAAUAACACACCUAUGUAUAUACAUAUAUGCAUAUAUUUUUUUAUUUUCACAACAACUUUGAUGCACUUGAAAAGUCUAUUAAGUAUAGCAAACUGUAACCUGAUAUACUGUUUUGUUGCUAUUUAAACGCAAUAAGUGAAGAUAUUACUAUUAGUCCAGAAAAAGUAUACUGCAUAAGUAAAUGUCUAUUUUAAAUACACUCGUCCUUAUGUGGUUGGAGCGCAUGCAUAUUAUUCGGGACGGAGGAAAAAAUGCGCUCACGGCCAUCUAACUAUUUAUCAGCAGAGUCAAGUAAAGACUAACUGUGUUAAUGCUCUAUUCAAUAUAAAUAAAAGGCUCAAACCAAAGUAAUUAAGCAGAUUUAGUCCUACUAACUAUUAAAUAAACUAAUAAGUGUAACGAAAAAAAGGACUCGUGAGUUUCGUUAGCUUAAACGAAACGCAAAAAUCUAGUUAUUUUGUGAGACCACAAUAAGUGAGUUAAGUAUAAAAUUACUUUUACACGUUAGGAAUUACACUUAAAAUGUAAACUAAAUAAAAAUAUGCGAUAUGACAUAUGCAUGUAUUAGGGUGGUGAUUAUUAUUUUAUGUUUUCAUUGUAAUUUUACUUCUGUACAUUUACAAAAAAGUAAAUACACUCGUGGCCACGCAAACCUUACUACUAUAUUUUCGUAAAUUUUGUUUCGGCCUUUUGUUGUUUUUUUUAUGUUUUUAGUAAGCAGAAGUAAACUGAAUUAUAUUAUCUAAAUAUAAUUAUAGUUUUUAAUUUAUUACGUUUAAUGAGUAAAACACAGGUUAGCUUUUACUAUACAAAAGCGGCCGAUAUUAUUGUUUUUAAAGUGAUACACCGACUAAAAUUCGUGUUUCAAUAAAAAAAAAUAAAAUAAAAUAUUAAUUUCAAUUAUUGUGUAAAUAAAAUAAAAUUAAAAAAUAUAAUUUUUUCAUCUUUUUUCAUUUUCAUUUAGAGCUCAUUUUGGUAAGCUCAUUAUCUUACAAUUGAUUUCUCUAUGUAUAGCUGAAUAUAUUUUGUUUUUAAUUUUUAAUAUUUUUGAUAAAUAACAUGUCAUUAACUUAUUUCUAAAUAAAAAAUUUCUAUACCGCAAAAAGUACCGCUAUAAAGUGUAGUCAAAUAUGCACAAUACUUGAGAAUUUUGAGUGGUAAGGUUUGCGUGGCCACGAGUGUACAUAUAAUACAAAAAGUUUAAAAAGGAGCUAGUAAAGGAUUUUUAAAAAUACAAAUAUAAAUAUAAUAAUCUGUUCAAGCAAAACGUAGGCUAAGAUUUUAAUCUUUUUUGGGUCUAUAACUCUUUGAUGCGAAACUUUUUCCUUAUGCCAUUAAAAAUAUAACAAAUUGCAUACAAUUUUUAGCAUAUUUUUGCUCCACCCUAAUACAUAUGUCUAGGUAUGUACUUACAUUUAAAUAAAAAUUAGUUAGAUAUUGGACAGACGAAUAUUGUACUGAUUUAUAUGUAUAUAAGUAAUAACAAUUAGCUAGCAUCACAUACUAUUAUUAACUAAAAGAGAUUUCUGUAUUGAAAAACUCUUAGAUAUAAGCUGAACUUGCAAAGGAAUCUCAAUUUUCAACUCAAAAAUUCAGAUCAGCCAUGGAAUUUUGACAAAAGUUUGUUUUUGUUUUUCAUCUCACGUUUUUACGGUUUUUCAUACCAUUAUUCUUUAAAUAUUAACGCCUGUUAUUAAUAUGCUCUAAGGCCAGGCGUAUAAUUGCCUUCUUUUACUCCCGCUGUUGUCGUAAGAUGUAUUUUCACUGCCCGAAUAUAAAGAAAUUAUUAUUGUAAUAGCUCUCAGUAAAAAAAAUCUCUUUAAUAUAAGUAUUUGCCUUUCGACAACUUUUGCGUACAAAGAAAAAAUUGAUAUUAUCUUGAAAGUAUUUAAAAAAAUGUUUAUUUAUAUGUUAAUUUGUAAAGUAAAAAAAAUUAGAAAAUUGCAUUCCAUAAAAAGUAAAUCUUACAAGUAAGCUAGAAUAAUUGUCUUUCCUUCUUCUUCCUUAUUUUAUUUAUUUCCAUUUUUUAUUUUUGAUAUUUUCAAUGUUUUACUUUGUAAUACGUAUUUAGUUUUGAGUGCAUUGUUUAUAAAUCGUUAUAUUAAAUAUAAAGCUUAUUGUUUGUGUUUAUGUAACACCAAUUAAGAUUACUCGAUUACUAUCUGUAAGCAUUAGGUCGCUUAAAUUAAUUGCCUGCGCUUCGUCAAACCUUGGAAAGUUUGGUAUCUGUCAAACAACAGGUAAAUAACAGAAAUAACAUAAGUGUAUUCAACUUUAAUGCGGUAACCACAUAUUAUAUUGAAUACAAACUAUAAAAUAUCCUUCUUACUUUAAGUUAUAAAACUUUGAAAAAAAAGAACAGUGGUAAGGCGUUUCGUAGGCAGUUUAUGAUAUUCAAGAUAUGUUAAACAUUUUCUUUAAUGCUUCCAUUACACUAUAAAAUAUUGAUUACAUAAAAUGUUAUGUAGGUUAUGUACACACACACUUUUUUAGAUAGUUAUAAAUAUUAUAUAGUAUUACGAAACGAAUAAAUUUCUCUCGUUUGCCAAGCAUUUUCCUGUAAGCAAAUAAUCGUAAGUGUAGUAAAUACAACAAUUACAUUAAUAUUUUUAUUUGUAGAAAUAACGUAUGGCUUUUAGAAUAGCAUGCCGCGAUUACGGGAUUUAAAUGAAUGUGGGCUGAAAGAAGAGGUUCUUUAAAUUAAUAUUAUAUGCAAUAUAUACAUAGGUUAUAUGCCUUCGUAAAAUGUUUAUAUGCAAUUAAUGCCCGGUUUCACAGUCCAUACUUAAGUUGUGCCCAAAUAAAAUCUUAGCUAAGCAUUGUUGCAGACUGAGUAGUCGUUUGUGUUUCACAGUCAAUGCUUAAUUUCUAUAAAAUUUUAUUAUGAUAUAUGGCAACGUUAUGGGCAACAUA